rnacentral:rRNA from 1 species
UACGGAGGGUGCGAGCGUUGUCCGGAAUCACUGGGCGUAAAGGGCGCGUAGGCGGCCUGAUAAGUAGGGGGUGAAAUCCUGCGGCUUAACCGCAGGGCUGCCUUCUAAACUGUCAGGCUAGAGCACGGUAGAGGCAGAUGGAAUUCCCGGUGUAGCGGUGGAAUGCGUAGAGAUCGGGAAGAACAUCAGUGGCGAAGGCGGUCUGCUGGGCCGUCGCUGACGCUGAGGCGCGACAGCGUGGGGAGCAAACAGG